AAAAGCUAUCAUUUUUUUUCCAUUCUUUCUUCUUCAACCGUGGGAAAGAACUGCAAAUGGCAGCCAUGGAUGAGCUCCAUUCAGCCAAGCUUCUAUGGCUUAUAUAGAGUUCCAGGUUAGCUCGGGUUGGAAGCCGUCAGAGAUAUUAUCACCCUAUCGAGUUAACGUUAUCGGAGUAAGUAAACUCAAGUGAUUCGAGUCUAUGGCAUGUAUAGGGUUUUAAUGUGAGUAUGUAAUAUUAUGAUUUAGCCAAAGGCAUUGGCUUGUUAUUAAGGUAGUAUUAGUCAUGUAAAUUGGCCUAUGUCGGCUAAUGACGUUAUGGGCCUAUAUGAUUAUUCUUAUGCAUUUAUGUUAUUAUUUCUUGUGAUGUGGCUUACAACAUGUAUGCCUAGAGAUUGAAUUGAGAUUCAUUGAUGAGCUAGUAACUAAUGCAGGAUUAAGUGAUUGGUAAAUAGUUAAUAAUGCUUCAUGAAUGGUUUGUGAUGUAA